rnacentral:rRNA from 1 species
ACUGAAUAGAUACCCAGGUAGUCCACGCCGUAAACGAUGAUCACUCGCUGUUAGCGAUAUACAGUUAGCGGCUAAAGCAAAAGCAUUAAGUGAUCCACCUGGGGAGUACGGCCGCAAGGCUGAAACUCAAAGGAAUUGACGGGGGCCCGCACAAGCGGAGGAACAUGUGGUUUAAUUCGAUGAUACGCGAGGAACCUUACCUGGGCUUAAAUGUAGACUGCAUUAAUGGGAAAUCAUUAUUUCCUUCGGGACUGUCUGCAAGGUGCUGCAUGGUUGUCGUCAGCUCGUGCCGUGAGGUGUCGGGUUAAGUCCCAUAACGAGCGCAACCCUUAUCGUUAGUUGCCAGCGGGUAAAGCCGGGGACUCUAGCGAAACUGCCGGUGUAAACCGAGAGGAAGGUGGGGAUGACGUCAAAUCAGCACGGCCCUUAUGUCCAGGGCUACACACGUGUUACAAUGGCCGGUACAGAGGGCAGCUAUGCUGUGAGGCAAUGCGAAUCUCGAAAGCCGGUCUCAGUUCGG